rnacentral:rRNA from 1 species
AUGAACGCUGACAGAAUGCUUAACACAUGCAAGUCGACUCGAGUCUUCGGACUUGGGUGGCGCACGGGUGAGUAACGCGUAAAGAACUUGCCUCUUAGACCGGGACAACAUCUGGAGACGGAUGCUAAUACCGGAUAUUAUGGUUUUUUCGCAUGGAGGAAUCAUGAAAGCUAGAUGCGCUAAGAGAGAGCUUUGCGUCCCAUUAGCUGGUUGGUGAGGUAACGGCCCACCAAGGCAAUGAUGGGUAGCCGGCCUGAGAGGGUGAACGGCCACAAGGGGACUGAGACACGGCCCUUACUCCUACGGGAGGCAGCAGUGGGGAAUAUUGGACAAUGGACCGCAAGUCUGAUCCAGCAAUUCUGUGUGCACGAUGACGUUUUUCGGAAUGUAAAGUGCUUUCAGUCGGGAAGAAGUCAGUGACGGUACCGACAGAAGAAGCGACGGCUAAAUACGUGCCAGCAGCCGCGGUAAUACGUAUGUCGCAAGCGUUAUCCGGAUUUAUUGGGCGUAAAGCGCGUCUAGGCGGCAAGGAAAGUCUGAUGUGAAAAUGCGGAGCUCAACUCCGUAUGGCGUUGGAAACUGCCUUACUAGAGUACUGGAGAGGUAGGCGGAACUACAAGUGUAGAGGUGAAAUUCGUAGAUAUUUGUAGGAAUGCCGAUGGGGAAGCCAGCCUACUGGACAGAUACUGACGCUAAAGCGCGAAAGCGUGGGUAGCAAACAGG